UGGAAGCGCAGUCUUGGCUCGUGCUUCAGCGCAGCAGAUCGCGGGGAGCGACGGCGACAACGGAGGCGUGGCACGGAGCGCUGCUGAGCCAAGGAGCUGUCCCGGUGGUGAGCACGGAUAAUGACAGUCUUCUACAUUAAGACUUGAUACCUGACAAGAGGAAAGCGGCAAUAGAAGUCAUCCGAUCUCAUUCGCGGACGACUCGGCCAACAACUGGAGAAGAACAGAUGGACAAACUCUGCGGGGGUCACGGGCCGACACUGAAGUGCUAAAUCACACCACACUACAUUCUUUUGCUAAUCAGCGUUGCUACAGACACAAUCUUCCCUCCCUUUAGUGUAGCAACACCUCUGUAACCAGGGCAACCAAAACAUUAAAUAGAGGAGCACGUGGAGGGAGAACUCAGAAUUGAUGGAGAUUGUAACCGAGUUUCCUCUCUCUAUCGUUCUCCUCGCGAGUAAACCUG